UCUGGUGACUAUAGCAAGGAGGUCACACCUGUUCCCAUGCCGAACACAGAAGUUAAGCUCCUUAGCGUCGAUGGUAGUCGAACUUACGUGCCGCUAGAGUAGAACGUUGCCAGGC
rnacentral:rRNA from 1 species